rnacentral:rRNA from 1 species
GACGAACGCUGGCGGCGUGCUUAACACAUGCAAGUCGAACGGAAAGGCCCUGCUUUUGUGGGGUGCUCGAGUGGCGAACGGGUGAGUAACACGUGAGUAACCUGCCCUUGACUUUGGGAUAACUUCAGGAAACUGGGGCUAAUACCGGAUAGGAGCUCCUGCUGCAUGGUGGGGGUUGGAAAGUUUCGGCGGUUGGGGAUGGACUCGCGGCUUAUCAGCUUGUUGGUGGGGUAGUGGCUUACCAAGGCUUUGACGGGUAGCCGGCCUGAGAGGGUGACCGGCCACAUUGGGACUGGGAUACGGCCCAGACUCCUACGGGAGGCAGCGGUGGGGAAUAUUGCACACUGGGCGGAAGCCUGAUGCAGCAACGCCGCGUGCGGGAUGACGGCCUUCGGGUUGUAAACCGCUUUCGCCUGUGACGAAGCGUGAGUGACGGUAAUGGGUAAAGAAGCACCGGCUAACUACGUG